GACGAACGCUGGCGGCGUGCUUAACACAUGCAAGUCGAGCGGUAAGGCCCUUUCGGGGGUACACGAGCGGCGAACGGGUGAGUAACACGUGGGUGACCUGCCCUCAGCUCUGGGAUAAGCCUGGGAAACCGGGUCUAAUACCGGAUAUGACUCCAUGACGCAUGUUGUGGGGUGGAAAGCCUUGUGCGGCUGAGGAUGGGCCCGCGGCCUAUCAGCUUGUUGGUGGGGUGAUGGCCUACCAAGGCGACGACGGGUAGCCGGCCUGAGAGGGCGACCGGCCACACUGGGACUGAGACACGGGCCCAGACUCCUACGGGAGGCAGCAGUGGGGAAUCUUGCGCAAUGGGCGAAAGCCUGACGCAGCGACGCCGCGUGAGGGAUGACGGCCUCGGU
rnacentral:rRNA from 1 species